UACGAAGGAUCCAAGCGUUGUCCGGAUUUACUGGGUUUAAAGGGUGUGUAGGCGGGCUUUUAAGUCAGUGGUGAAAUCUCCGGGCUCAACCCGGAAACUGCCAUUGAUACUAUUAGUCUUGAAUUUUGUUGAGGUAGGCGGAAUAAGUCAUGUAGCGGUGAAAUGCGUAGAUAUGCGGAGGAACACCGAUGGCGAAGGCAAUCCCCUGGGCCUGCACUGACGCUCAUGCACGAAAGCGUGGGGAGCAAACAGG
rnacentral:rRNA from 1 species